rnacentral:rRNA from 1 species
UGGGGAAUAUUGCACAAUGGGGGGAAACCCUGAUGCAGCGACGCCGCGUGAGUGAAGAAGUAUUUCGGUAUGUAAAGCUCUAUCAGCAGGAAAGAAAAUGACGGUACCUGACUAAGAAGCCCCGGCUAACUACGUGCCAGCAGCCGCGGUAAUACGUAGGGGGCAAGCGUUAUCCGGAUUUACUGGGUGUAAAGGGAGCGCAGGCGGGAAGGCAAGUCAGCUGUGAAAAACUAUGGGCUUAACCCAUAGACUGCAGUUGAAACUGUUUUUCUUGAGUGGAGUAGAGGUAAGCGGAAUUCCGAGUGUAGCGGUGAAAUGCGUAGAGAUUCGGAGGAACACCAGUGGCGAAGGCGGCUUACUGGGGCUCUAACUGACGCUGAGGCUCGAAAGUGUGGGGAGCAAACAGGAUUAGAUACCCUGGUAGU